rnacentral:ncRNA from 2 species
CGCCCUCUCGCGGGAGAGUUCCGUGGCCGCCAGUCACGGACGCCGAAGGAGCAACACCUCUCCGUCAACCUCUCAGGCACCCCGGACCGCGACCGGCCC